GUUGUACCUCUGUCUGGGGAUGAUUUUGGGCUUCUGUCAGGUCAUUUUUAGGCAUCCGCUCAAGAACUAUCCGGCAUUAACUUGUCGAUAGGAGGACAGGAUUUACUUUGAAAAAAUUAGAGUGUUUAAGGAGGCAAUUGCCGCAUAUAUUAGCAUGGAAUAAUAGAAUAGGACACUUUUCCAUUUCGUUGGUUAUUGGAAUCGUGUAAUGAUUAAUAGGGGACAGUUGUGGGCAUUUGUAUUUAAUUGCCAGAGGGAAAUUCUUGGUUUAUUAAAGACAAACUAACGCGAAAGUAUUUGCCAGGGUGUUUUCAUUAAUCAAGAACGAAGUAAGGGGAUCAAAGACGAUCAGAUACCGCAUAGGCUUUACAUAAAUAUUCCGACUCAAUGUUCGACUGGUUUAUAUAACCAGUUGAGCGUUGUAUGAGAAAUAAAGCCUUAGGUCUGGGGGGAGAUGUUUGCAAAGUGAAACUUAAAGGGAAUUGCGGAGAGCCAACAAGGGUGGAUUCUGCGGUUAAUUUGGCUCAAACGGGGAACUUACCAGGUAAAACAAUAGGGGAUUGAAGGUUGGAAGCGCUUUCUUGAUCGUUGGGUGGGGGUGCUGGCCGUUCUUAGUUGGGGAGUGAUUUGUCUGGUUAAUUGCGUUAACGACGAGACUUACCUGCUUACUAGACUAUUGAUGUUAAUCGGAACUCUUUCUAGAGGACUUUGGUUGUUUUAACUCCAAGAAGGUUGGGCAUUACAGGUCUGUGAGGCCCUUAGAUAUCCUGGGCCGCACGCGCAUA
rnacentral:rRNA from 1 species